CUUUGCAAUGUGCGAAAGCACGACAAGGUUAAUCCGAGUGGUUUCUGCUAAAGGAACCUUUUGUCAGUCCUAGAAACACUGGUGAAUAAGGGGUGGGCAAGUUCUGGUGUCAGCCGCCGCGGUAAAACCAGCACCUCAAGUGGUUAGGAUGAUUAUUGGGCCUAAAGCAUCCGUAGCCUGCUUUGUUAGUUUUCGGUUAAAUACCAUACGCUCAACGUAUGGGCGUGCCGGGAA
rnacentral:rRNA from 1 species